rnacentral:piRNA from 1 species
UAUUGCCCGGAAGCUGUGUGAGC